AUCCUUGGAAGAGAGCCUCCAGAACGUAGAAGUUCGCUACUCCGAGCAGCUGUACCACCUCCAGGACCUGCUGGACCAGCGGGAGGCCGAGCUGGCCCAGAUCCUGGCCGAGACACGGAGGCAGUGCGACGAGUACGCACGGCUGUUGGACAUCAAAACCCGGCUGGAGAUGGAGAUCGCCACCUACCGCCGCCUGCUGGAAGGAGAGGACUUCAGCUACUCUACUCAAGUCCAUACCAUAGAAACGAUCAGGGAACCGGAGGUGAUUACCAAAAAGAAGAUCAUCACUAUAACUGAAAAACUCGUUGAUGGGCAGGUCGUUGACUCUCAUCAAGAGGUUAAAGAGGCAACCAUUUAACCGACCUCUUCUCACCCAGUUGUGAUAAACUUCAGAAGACAUAAAUGCCAUUAGCUUACAAAUUAUAACUUGCUUCUUGGGGUUCUGCCGGCCUUAAAUAAAGUAGUUUCUGG